UGCAUGCUGUUGCCUUUUGUUUUGUCUGAGCACAUUCGUCUGGUCUCCCUUCCCUGCGCCAAGAAACCAGAUUGGCCUCCCCACUCCAGGGAGGAGGGAGCUGAGGAAAGGCUUGGCUUCUGGCAUUUCUCAAUUCCUCCCAUCUCCUCUGCUGGCUUCUCCGGGAGACCCUGUCCUAGGUGGGCAGGUGGUUGGUACACCAAGGACUACCUGAACAGACAAAACCUUAAGGGCACCUCAAGGCAUGAUGCAGAGAACUGGCCCAGGCCAGGGUGCCUGCAUCUUAAAUGCUGCUUCUGCCAAUUCCCAGCUUAGUGCACUCCUGAACUCCUGCGGCCUACCUCGGCUUCUCACCUGGAACACCAGUGAAUCAUGCUGGACGAUUUCUUUGUCUCUGUUUAUAACAAAUGCCCUUUUUCCCUCCCCCAGCCCCAGUUUCCUUUUGCUUAAGAUCUUCACUGUCUGUUUU
rnacentral:lncRNA from 1 species